rnacentral:piRNA from 1 species
UUGAUAGAUAGUCUUUGCUUUGC